GGUGAUUGUUGUAUCUACGUCUUUUAUAAAACAUUUCUUAUAUAUAUAUAUUAUACAGCAUGUCCCAAAAAUGUACUUUUUAAAUGACCACAUCAGCAACAUUUAUUUUAGUACAAAAAAGUUUCAUACGUCAAAAUACUAUGAAGAAAUGCAGAAAGCAGCACAUUAUCUAAAGUGUUUGGAUUGGUGGCCAUUGUGGUACAAACAUAGCGAUAGUGAAUAAAUCUGAAUGAUAAAGUUUCAAAGGAUCAAGUAAGAUGAAGUAUACUAAGGCAGUGCAAACACUUCUUCACAUUGUUUUUCCAGUUCUAAAAAAAUAUUAAACAAUUUUUGAAAAUUCA